CGUUAUUCGGAAUCACUGGGCUUACAGGGUGCGUAGGCGGCUUGUUAAGUAGGGUGUGAAAGCCCCCGGCUCAACCGGGGAAUUGCGCCCUAAACUGGCGAGCUGGAGUGAGAUAGGGGUGUGUGGAACUUCCGGUGGAGCGGUGAAAUGUGUUGAUAUCGGAAGGAACGCCGGUGGCGAAAGCGACACACUGGAUCUUGUCUGACGCUGAGGCACGAAAGCCAGGGGAGCGAACGGG
rnacentral:rRNA from 1 species